AGGCCCAAAGAGAGAGGCAGGGUCUGAUCCGCAGCCUCCGUGGCAGCUGUUGAUCAGCCAUUGCCUCUCUCUUUCUCUCCG
rfam:Myotis lucifugus cont2.59767, whole genome shotgun sequence.